UAUCUCUUGCAGCGGUAUACUUUCUGAUAGUCUUGGGAAGAAGGAUAGUGUCGGUUCUCCUACAUUAGCAUUCUUGGAAUUUUGGGAGCUGCAGCUGUGCGAGUUCAAGAGGUUUAUUAAGACUGGUAGUACUAGGUUGUGUCCGAAAGUUAGUAGUGAGAACAAGAGGCUGCUCCGCAGUAGCACUGUCAUGGGUGUGAUGUCUAGACUGAACCUUCCCUAUACCGAGGUAUACUCGAAUGGUAUAGAGCGAGUGGUUGGUCAUCUUAAAGGUGGGAAUGAUUCUGUGGCGGACUUGAUUACCACAAGAAUAGAGAAGGGUGACAAGUCUGUGGUAAAAGGCAAAGUCAGAACUACUAAGAAUGGAGAAGAGAGUAAAAGGAAGGUUCACCGCUUCAAACCUAAGGUGGCAAAGGACCGCAUUCCUCCCCUGGUUGUCAAAAGCGCCUUUGGUGUUAGAGUGAUACUACCGUCUGAUUUGGUUGAUGGAAAAGGGAAGAAGAGGAAAACUGCUUCUAGCUCAAAAUAGAGUAGAGCUACUAAGCUAAAGGUUACACGUGAUGCCUCACCCACUGUCCUCAGGCGAAGUUCCCGCGUUGCCAACAUGAGUUUUUCAAAACGUAAACCUUCGUCUAAGGGCGCUGUUUAUGUUGAUCUUAGUGAUGCGCCAAGUGACGACAGCGAGGGUAGCCCCCUUAGUGAUAAUGUUGACACAUAUGAGGAGAAUGAUUCUGACACUUAUGAGGAAAGGGUCUGUGAUGAUGGUAACCAGCUGGAAUCCCUUGAAGAUAGGGGUAAUGACGAUUGGGGUAAUCGAAACGUGACUUUGAAUGAGGGGGAUCACUGCAGUGAUAACCCAGUAUGUAACCAAACUCGGGUUUCUGUACUCUUGCAUGAAUUAUAUAUAUAUAUAUAUAUAUUACUCUGUUCACAUGUGAUUUGUUAGGACAUUGGCACUGAUGAUUUGGGGAAAGAAUCUGUUGCAGAUGGUAGCCUUUGCGCGGGUGACCAUAAUGAGCCGGGUGGAUCAGUUUUGUUGACAGUUGGAAGGACAUCGUUUGAGCCCCACGUCCCUAAGACAGUACCAAGGGAUAAUGGUGUUGCUGCUGUAAUCUUGACCAAUAGAGGGAUUCCACUUUGUGCUACCUCCGAUUGCUCUCUUGCUCCUAACUCAGAUAAAUCAGAAAAGGUGUCAAAAGCUGAUUUGGAGAUGCGUUUUAGGAAAUUUACUUCUUCUUUUGACACUGAGGAUCGCUUGAGUAUUACUAUUGAUGAUAUUGCACGCCCAUUGAGUAGUAUCCAAUCUUCAUUUGAGGGUGGAAAAGUGCCUUCAGAGUUUGUGGCUCCACUCACUAAAUUCGCGGAAAGGUAUGGUGGAGGUAGCUUCUCUAGCUUGUUUGCAGAAGGAAAAAGUGCCCGCCAGAAGCAAAAAUUGGUUGAGGAGUUCGGUUCUGUGUUGUAUAGCAUGGAGACUGAGGAAGUAAAAAAUGAGGAGACUUUCUUGAUUUGGAGGGAUGCAUGUCGUGACAUCAUAGAUUGGGGGCUUAAAGUCGACUUUAUGCUUGAUCAUUUGAAGCAAGCUGCUAGAGAUUUUUUUGGUUAUAUGCUCAGGCCCAGUGGAUCAGAGAGUAGUUGCAGGGAGAUCAUCCAAAUGGAGGAAGCUAUAUCCCAGUUGAGGAAAAAGCUUUUGCAUCUUGAACAAAAAUUAGGAGAGGCGCGGGAAGACUUACACCUUAGGCUUGGUGAUGACAUUAGCUCAGACAGCAUGUCCUGCAUAUUAGGAUCCUCUUGGGUUCCUCAAAGUCGUGCAAGUCGUGGCCUGUAUUAGUUUUGCUUUGUA